AUGGUCUCAGCAUAUAUACUAAAACUGGAACAAUACAGAGAGAGAUUAGCAUGGCCCCUGAACAACGAUGACACACAAAUUUGUGAAGUGUUUCAUACUUUU
rnacentral:snRNA from 1 species